GGGGGUGUUCUGGUUUUGACAUCAGAUUAACAAGUCGGCAAGCGUGUCGAGCAUUGUGAGUGAAGCUCGUUAAUAUCCAACUCUCAGCCAUUAGUUGGCAACACUUCAAUGAGACUUGCUGCGUAAUUUGCCAGGCAAAUUACCUUAAUCGAGCCGGUCAAGGAUCGGCCGACAAGUGCCUCGCCUGAGUAUCUUUCUUCUUGACUUUGGCAUACGGGGUAUCAUCCAAAGAGGAAUGCGGAAACUGACUCCUUUAAGGUUUCCCAAGUUUAAAAGGAUAAGCUUUCGGUGGCCCGCCCUUCGGCAGCCGCAGGUCGAAAAACAAUGAAUGGGCUACACACGUAGAAAACCUUCGGGUGGUCUGGCUGGACAGCGGUUCGACUCCGCUCACCUCCAC
rnacentral:tmRNA from 1 species